UACGUGGGGUGCAAGCGUUGUCCGGAAUUAUUGGGCGUAAAGAGCUCGUAGGCGGUUCGUCACGUCGGCUGUGAAAUCCCGAGGCUCAACCUCGGGUCUGCAGUCGAUACGGGCGGACUGGAGUACUGCAGGGGAGACUGGAAUUCCUGGUGUAGCGGUGAAAUGCGCAGAUAUCAGGAGGAACACCGGUGGCGAAGGCGGGUCUCUGGGCAGUAACUGACGCUGAGGAGCGAAAGCGUGGGGAGCGAACAGG
rnacentral:rRNA from 1 species